UGGCUCUCGCAUCGAUGAAGAACGUAGCGAAGUGCGAUAAGUAGUGUGAAUUGCAGAAUUCCGUGAAUCAUCGAAUUUUUGAACGCAAAUUGCACUCCCUGGUAUUCCGGGGAGUAUGCCUGUCUGAGGGUCAGUCUAAGUAAAAUCGAGGUGUCGCC
rnacentral:rRNA from 1 species